AUUGAACGCUGGCGGCAGGCCUAACACAUGCAAGUCGAGCGGAUGAAGGGAGCUUGUUCCUGGAUUCAGCGGCGGACGGGUGUGUAAUGCCUAGGAAUCUGCCUGGUAGUGGGGGAUAACGUCCGGAAACGGGCGCUAAUACCGCAUACGUCCUGAGGGAGAAAGUGGGGGCUCUUCGGACCUCACGCUAUCAGAUGAGCCUAGGUCGUAUUAGCUAGUUGGUGGGGUAAAGGCCUACCAAGGCGACGAUCCGUAACUGGUCUGAGUGGAUGAUCAGUCACACUGGGACUGAGACACGGUCCAGACUCCUACGGGAGGCAGCAGUGGGGAAUAUUGGACAAUGGGCGAAAGCCUGAUCCAGCCAUGCCGCGUGUGUGAAGAAGGUCUUCGGAUUGUAAAGCACUUUAAGUUGGGAGGGAGGGCAGUAAGUUAAUACCUUGCUGUUUUGACGUUACCAACAGAAUAAGCACCGGCUAACUUCGUG
rnacentral:rRNA from 1 species